UACGAGGGGUGCAAGCGUUAUUCGGAUUAACUGGGCGUAAAGGGUGCGUAGGUGGCAUUUCAAGUCUGUUGUUAAAUCCUUCAGCUCAACUGAAGGCUCGCAGUGGAUACUGAUAUGCUAGAGUGUGGAAGAGAGAAGUGGAAUUCUCGGAGUAGCGGUAAAAUGCGUAGAUCUCGAGAGGAACACCAAUGGCGAAGGCAGCUUCUUGGUCCACUACUGACACUGAGGCACGAAAGCGUGGGGAGCAAACAGG
rnacentral:misc_RNA from 1 species